CCUACGGGGGGCAGCAGUGAGGAAUAUUGGUCAAUGGACGAGAGUCUGAACCAGCCAAGUAGCGUGAAGGAUGACUGCCCUAUGGGUUGUAAACUUCUUUUAUAUGGGAGUAAAAUGUUCCACGUGUGGGAUUUUGUAUGUACCAUAUGAAUAAGGAUCGGCUAACUCCGUGCCAGCAGCCGCGGUAAUACGGAGGAUCCGAGCGGUAUCCGGAUUUAUUGGGUUUAAAGGGAGCGUAGGUGGAUUGUUAAGUCAGUUGUGAAAGUUUGCGGCUCAACCGUAAAAUUGCAGUUGAAACUGGCAGUCUUGAGUAGAGUAGAGGUGGGCGGAAUUCGUGGUGUAGCGGUGAAAUGCUUAGAUAUCACGAAGAACUCCGAUUGCGAAGGCAGUUCACUGGACUGCAACUGACACUGAGGCUCGAAAGUGUGGGUAUCAAACAGGAUUAGAUACCCUUGUAGUC
rnacentral:rRNA from 1 species